rnacentral:rRNA from 1 species
AUUGAACGCUGGCGGCAGGCCUAACACAUGCAAGUCGAGCGAGCGGCGGACGGGUGAGUAAUGUCUGGGAAACUGCCUGAUGGAGGGGGAUAACUACUGGAAACGGUAGCUAAUACCGCAUACCAUCAAAUGUGCCCAGAUGGGAUUAGCUAGUGGGUGGGGUAACGGCUCACCUAGGCGACGAUCCCUAGCUGGUCUGAGAGGAUAACAAGCAACAUUGGAACUGAGAACCGGUCCAGAUCCCAACGGGAGGAGGCGUUGGGGAAUAUUGGAAAAUGGGGGCAAGCUUGCGACAGCCAGGCCGCGUGUGUGAAACGGGCCUUCGGGUUUUAAAGUAUUUUCAUCGGGGAGGCGUUACCCGCAGAAGAAGCACCGGCUAACUCCGUGCCAGCAGCCGCGGUAAUUC